GAUGAAGAACGUAGCGAAAUGCGAUACUUGGUGUGAAUUGCAGAAUCCCGUGAACCAUCGAGUCUUUGAACGCAAGUUGCGCCUCAAGCCAUUAGGUUGAGGGCACGUCUGCCUGGGCGUCACAUAUCGUUGCCUGAUGCCAGUUUCCUCGUGAUGGGUGACUGUGCAGGGCGAAUGAUGGCUUCCCGUGAGCACUGUUGCCUCAUGGUUGGUUGAAAAUUGAGUCCUUGGUAGGGAGCGCCGUGAUAGAUGGUGGUUGAGUGACGAACGAGACCCAAACAUGUGAGACCCCUACCGAAUUUGGCCUUCAUGACCCACAUGCGUCUUUGGAACGCUCAUGACGAGACCUCAGGUCAGGCGGGGCUACCCGCUGAGUUUAAGCAUAUCAAUAAGCGGAGGA
rnacentral:misc_RNA from 1 species